rnacentral:rRNA from 1 species
UACAGAGGGUGCGAGCGUUAAUCGGAAUUACUGGGCGUAAAGGGUGCGUAGGCGGGUUUUUAAGUCAGGGGUGAAAUCCUGGAGCUCAACUCCAGAACUGCCUUUGAUACUGAAGAUCUUGAGUCCGGGAGAGGUGAGUGGAACUGCGAGUGUAGAGGUGAAAUUCGUAGAUAUUCGCAAGAACACCAGUGGCGAAGGCGGCUCACUGGCCCGGUACUGACGCUGAGGCACGAAAGCGUGGGGAGCAAACAGG